UACGUAGGGGGCAAGCGUUGUCCGGAUUUAUUGGGCGUAAAGAGCGUGUAGGCGGCUAGGUAGGUCCGUUGUGAAAACUGGAGGCUUAACCUCCAGCUGUCGAUGGAAACCAUCUGGCUAGAGUCCGGAAGAGGAGAGUGGAAUUCCUGGUGUAGCGGUGAAAUGCGCAGAUAUCAGGAAGAACACCCGUGGCGAAGGCGGCUCUCUGGGACUGUACUGACGCUGAGACGCGAAAGCGUGGGGAGCGAACAGG
rnacentral:rRNA from 1 species